rnacentral:misc_RNA from 1 species
GAUGAAGGAACGCAGCGAAAUGCGAUAAGUAAUGUGAAUUGCAGAAUUCAGUGAAUCAUCGAAUCUUUGAACGCACAUUGCGCCCGCCAGCACUCUGGCGGGCAUGCCUGUCCGAGCGUCAUUUCAACCCUCGAGCCCCGCUCGGCGCUGGGGGACGGCCGCGCGCCGCCCCCGAAAUGCAGUGGCGACCCCGCCGCGUUCCUCCCCUGCGCAGUAGCUCUCCAGAGAAACCUCGCACCGGCGGCGCGGCGGCGGUCACGCCGUGAAACGCACAAGCCUUCCAGAGUUGACCUCGGAUCAGGUAGGGAUACCCGCUGAACUUAAGCAUAUCAAUAAGCGGAGGA